UCACCGACUCGAUGGACAUGAGUUUGAGUAAACUCCGGGAGUUGGUGAUGGACAGGGAGGCCUGGCGUGCUGCAGUCCAUGGGGUCGCAAAGAAUCGGACCCGACUGAGCGACUGAACUGAAUGCUUAGAAUAGCAAGAGGGCUUUCUUUUCCCCGCAGUUGGACCCUCCCUUAUACAGGUAAGGAAAGAAGAGGAUGCCCAGGAGAGCGUCCAGAGAAACACCAGCACUUGCUAGGGGCAGGGAGGAGGAUCAGAAGAGAGAUCGGAGAGGAGCAUCAAGGAGGAGGGGGAAAACCCUGGGAAGUUUCAAGGACGCCAUGAUUAACAAUGUCAGUCUCGACUGCUGCCAGGAAGCAGCAGGUGGUGUAUUAGUUCCCCAACCAGGGAUCAAACCCAAAUCCCCUGCAUUGGAAGCGUGGAGUCUUAACUGCUGGACCACUGAGGAAGUCCCUGUCUGUGCCAUUUUUGAUUUCUCAUAUUGGCGACCAUUGGAAUCUAGUGGCCCCACAGAGCUGACAGACCACUGAUCACCUCUACUCAUCAACUGCUUAGGAGAUUGUAAUCAUGGUUGUCACAAAUGUGGCUUCAACUACGACAGUGGCAGUUGAGCUGAAGAAAGGAGGUGGGCUUGCCAUUGUUGAGGAAGACAGAGACUGGAGGUGGCUCUUGGAUCUGUCUGAGUUGGGGACUAGGAGACGAGUUCCCACAGGUCCCUGGAGUGGUAAUCCUCCGGAAGCAGUGGCUGUGGGCCAGGCACUGAGUCGGACUCAGACUCUGCCCCUCAAGUUCCCAAUCUGAUCUGCAGGAGACGGGACAUCAGGGGUCCCAGCCCAGGGUGAUGGAUGUUCAAAAGGGAGACACACAGGGCCAGGAGGGAGGCACACAGAGGGGCGCGCACCUGAGUCUGCUUCAACUGCAAGGUGACAUCUAAGCUGAGUCCUUCAAUAAAUAUUGACAGCACCCAUGA